rnacentral:rRNA from 1 species
UGGGGAAUAUUGCACAAUGGAGGGAACUCUGAUGCAGCGACGCCGCGUGAACGAAGAAGGCUUUCGAGUCGUAAAGUUCCUUUAUAGGGGAAGAUAAUGACGGUACCAUAAGAAAAAGCCACGGCUAACUACGUGCCAGCAGCCGCGGUAAUACGUAGGGGGCUAGCGUUGUCCGGAAUCACUGGGCGUAAAGGGUACGCAGGCGGAAAUGCAAGUCAGGUGUAAAAGGCAGUAGCUUAACUACUGUAAGCAUUUGAAACUGCAUAUCUUGAGAAGAGUAGAGGUAAGUGGAAUUUUUAGUGUAGCGGUGAAAUGCGUAGAUAUUAAAAAGAAUACCUGUGGCGAAGGCGACUUACUGGGCUCAUUCUGACGCUGAGGAACGAAAGCGUGGGUAGCAAACAGG